rnacentral:rRNA from 1 species
UCAGUAGUCUUUUAAUUGAAGGCUUGUAUGAACGGUUGGAUGAGAGAAUAGCUGUCUCUUAAAUAACCUAGAAUUUGACUUUUAAGUGAAAAGGCUUAAAUUUAAUAGUGGGACGAUAAGACCCUGUAAAACUUUAUACGCAUAGUAUUUAGCCUUUAAAUUAUAUUAAAAUAUUGAUAUAUACUUUGGGUAUUUCGUUGGGGAGACGUUGAUAUAAUUUGUAACUGUCUAAUUAAAUAAAAUAAUUAUCAUUAUACUUUGAUCCUUCUUUGUGGGUUAUAAGAAUAAGUUACUUCAGGGAUAACAGCGUAAUUUUCUCAGAGAGUUCUUAUCGAAGAGAUUAGUUGCGACCUCGAUGUUGAAUUAAAAUUUCAGCUAGGUGUAGCCGCUUAGUUAGUGGGUCUGUUCGACCUUUAAAAUUUUAC